rnacentral:rRNA from 1 species
GACGAACGCUGGCGGCGUGCCUAAUACAUGCAAGUAGAACGCAGUUUCGAACGGGUGAGUAUCGCGUAGGUAACUGCGUCAUACCGGGGGAUAACUCUUGGAAACGCUAGCUCAUACCGCAUACUGUGAGCUAGACCUGCGUUGUAUUAGCUAGUUGGUGGGGUAAAGGCCCACCAAGGCGGCGAUACAAAGCCGGCCUGAGAGGGUGAUCGGCCACAUUGGGACUGAGGAACGGCCCAGACUCCUACGGGAGGCAGCAGUGGGGAAUCUUCGGCAAUGGACGGAAGUCUGACCGAGCAACGCCGCGUGAGUGAUGAAGGCUUUCGGAUCGUAAAGCUCUGUUGUUAGAGAAGCGGUACCUAACCAGAAAGCGACGGCUAACUACGUGCCAGCAGCCGCGGUAAUUC